UACGUAGGGUGCGAGCGUUAAUCGGAAUUACUGGGCGUAAAGCGUGCGCAGGCGGCUUUGCAAGACAGAUGUGAAAUCCCCGGGCUUAACCUGGGAACUGCAUUGGUGACUGCAAGGCUUGAGUGUGUCAGAGGGAGGUGGAAUUCCGCGUGUAGCAGUGAAAUGCGUAGAUAUGCGGAGGAACACCGAUGGCGAAGGCAGCCUCCUGGGAUAACACUGACGCUCAUGCACGAAAGCGUGGGGAGCAAACAGG
rnacentral:rRNA from 1 species